UACGUAGGGGGCAAGCGUUGUCCGGAAUCAUUGGGCGUAAAGAGCGUGUAGGCGGCCCGAUAAGUCCGCUGUGAAAGUCCAGGGCUCAACCCUGGGAUGCCGGUGGAUACUGUCGGGCUCGAGUCCGGAAGAGGAGUGUGGAAUUCCGUGGUGUAGCGGUGAAAUGCGCAGAUAUCAGGAGGAACACCGGUGGCGAAGGCGGGUCUCUGGGCCGAUACUGACGCUGAGGAGCGAAAGCGUGGGGAGCGAACAGG
rnacentral:rRNA from 1 species